rnacentral:lncRNA from 1 species
CCUGAGUGUAGGUUAUACAAGUAGAUGUUGUGUCAAAAAAUAAGGUCUAAUUUGCAUAUCAGACGGGCUGUUAAUCGUAAUGUUCUGUAACACUCAAGUUAUCAACAAGCUCUUAAAGAAACCCUUGUGAUCCAAUGGGACUGGAGUAAGCACCACAUCGCUGAUCUGAACCAUAGUAGGAAGCUGACUGAAGGAAAUUUUAUCAUUAGUCUUCAUCUAAGACUAUGUAGAUCCUCAUCCUCCCCAGAGUAGAGAGUGAGUCACAAUGGGUUAAAUAGUUGGGUUUCUAUACAAAUCGGAUGUUUAAAAUUAGGAAUAAGCUUUAAAAUUAGGAAUAAGCUAUGUGAUUCCGAACAUGUCAUAUGUCCAAUAAAUUUAAGGACGAAUUUAUACUCCCUCCGCUUCAAAAAAAAAUUACCCUAUUUCCUUUUUAGUUUGUUCCAAAAAGAAUGAUUCUUUACUUUUUUGGCAACACAUUAACUUUAACUUUUCACGUGGCAUGUUUAAAACCACAAGAUUAAAAGGUAUUUGAUAUAUUUGACAUAACUUUAAAUUAGAACCACGAGAUUAAAAUGUCUUCUUUCUGUUCUUAAACUCCGUUUCAGAUCAAACUAGGUCAAUCAUUUUGAAAUGGAGAAAAUCUUAAACUAUAAUGAGAGUUUAUUUGAAUCCGAAACUUAUUUUGACAAUAAAUAUAAACAACAAUAUAUUUACAUUAUUUUGUAAUAAUACGAAACAUACCCUUUUUGGAUUCCAAAUAUUAUAGUGCUGGUUGGCACUUCAAGAAUAUUAGGCUAAUCUAAACUUACACGGCCCUGAGGGAGACUCAUAAUUUAGGCGUCGAGAAAAAAAGGAUCUAAAGUAGCUUUUAGCAAAGUGAAAUAAUUUCCAUUCACUUAAAGUAAAGAAUCCAAUACCCAACCCCUCCUUUUAAAUAUUUUCAACAACAUAUUUUCAUUCUACUCUAAACUAACAUCAGAAAGAUUUUCCUGCAGCUGCCUGUUAAGAACUUUGUAACGUAGCAACAACAAUGGCCAAUGUUAGUACCUUAAAACCAUUGGUGCAGUAACAGGUUUCAGAUUUCCCGGUUUCUCUCAUUUGAUCAAAUUUCCAAUGUUCUGAAAUUUAUUUUUCAUCUGUACAUUAGGUGGUUGAGCUUAAAGUUGGUUUGCACUGCGACGAAUGCAUCAAGAAAAUCUUGAAGACGAUCAAGAAAAUUGAAGAUAUUGAAACAUAUGAUGUGGAUAAACAACUAAACAAGGUAACAGUAACUGGAAAUGUGACUAAUGAAGAGGUGAUCAAAGUUCUUCACAAGAUCGGGAAACAAGCAAGCAACUGGGAUCAACAAUCAAGUUGCUAAUCGAAUAAGCCCAGAGUGCGCAAUACCAUCUUGCAAUUUUAUAUUAGUAUAUAAUAUGUCCUGAUUUUAUCAAUUUUAUACUACUAAACAAUAUUUUCCAAGUAUUUCUACAUUACAGAACAAUUAGAUCUAAUGCAUAUUUUUCUGUUCUGGCAUUUAUUGAAAACGCAAUUUACAAGAGAAAACAAGUUUUGAUGCUAAAAUUGAACCUCAAAAGGUUCAAGGAAAAGUUCAAACAAGAUAUUGACGAUUAAAAGGGGAACAGAAAAAGU